rnacentral:rRNA from 1 species
AGUGAACGCUGGCGGUAGGCCUAACACAUGCAAGUCGAACGGCAGCACAGUAAGAGCUUGCUCUUACGGGUGGCGAGUGGCGGACGGGUGAGGAAUACAUCGAAAUCUACUUUUUCGUGGGGGAUAACGUAGGGAAACUUACGCUAAUACCGCAUACGACCUACGGGUGAAAGCAGGGGAUCUUCGGACCUUGCGCGAUUGAAUGAGCCGAUGUCGGAUUAGCUAGUUGGCGGGGUAAAGGCCCACCAAGGCGACGAUCCGUAGCUGGUCUGAGAGGAUGAUCAACCACACUGGAAAUGAGACACGGUCCAGACUCCUACGGGAGGCAGCAGUGGGGAAUAUUGGACAAUGGGCGCAAGCCUGAUCCAGCCAUACCGCGUGGGUGAAGAAGGCCUUCGGGUUGUAAAGCCCUUUUGUUGGGAAAGAAAGGCAGCAGGUUAAUACCCCGCUGUUCUGACGGUACCCAAAGAAUAAGCACCGGCUAACUUCGUG